UGACAAAGAAGUGUGGGGGAAAAACAUUGUUUUUAUUGUUGUAGCUUAGCCCAUCCAGAUGUGUGACAGAGCCUGUCCUGGUGUGACCCUGACAGUGUGUUUGGGUGUCGAUGUGGAAGAGCCUGUCCUGGUGUGUGUGUGUUUGGGUGUCAAUGUCCUGGUGUGUGUGUUUGGGUGUUGGUGUGGCAGAGCCUGUCCUGAUGUGUGUCCCCAUGUGGAAGAGCCUGUCCUGGUGUGUGUGCUUGGGUGCUGGUGUGGCAGAGCCUGUCCUGGUGUGUUUGUCGGUGUGGCAGAACAUGUCCUGGUGUGUGUGUCGGGGUGGCAGAG